rnacentral:lncRNA from 1 species
UUUGUCUCUCACCAACCCUAGAGACACCCAUGUAUUCCACCGCCUUACUCUACCACUGAAAAUCAUGGCUGUUCCGGUGGCCCAAUACCUUCCCAAAUUACACCAUAGAACCCCCUCACUCCUCUCUUUCCAAAUCCCUGAUCCGUUUCCUUCAAAUAUCCAUUUGAAUCCACAAACCCUAGCGUCGCCAUAGUUUCUUAUGUGGCGGAGCCACCUCCCCUCAACCCCAAACUAACACCCCAUGACCUCCUUUGUCCCCACACCGCAAAACUCCAGUCCAUUGCCUUCAAAUCGUAGUCAAACUCAUCCAAUUUCAGAUCGAAAAAGUAGGACACAUGCCCUAAAAAUCGAACAGGAAAGUUUACUGAUUGUUUGAGAUCGAGAUUGACUUUAUUCGUGUGUUUUCAUUUGAAAACACAUGAUUAUGGUCUAUUUCGGUCUAAAUCAAAGGAAAGAAGAGUAAUUUCAGAAUUUUAUCUGCCUGCCCCGUAGGUAUUUUCAAUUCCUUUUCCUUUCUUUCAUCUUUUGGUUACGUUUAAAUCUUCAUCUCCUCUUACUUCGUCUUUUCUAUUUUGUUUUUCUUUUAAAAUAAUUAUGUUCGUAUGUUUAAAAUUAAAGUUUGUUCAUCCAUGUCGUUUAAUUUCUUUGUUCUAUGUGUAAUUUUAUUUUUGUUUCUGAUGUUCAAAGAGUGGAACUAUGAUUCCCUCUUGGAAAACUCCGUCAAAGCCCAGUAAUUCUAUAUGGGCUCUGUUAAUCAGAAGCCUAAGGAAAUGGACUCAAUACAGGUGUUAAGCCCAUUGUCUCGAGGUUGAACUUGGGUUCAAUUUCACCCGUAUCCGUUUGGUAUGCUAGGGUAAUUAAUAGAAUAUUAAGUAGUUAAUAGAGGUUUCAGGGGGUGGUUUGGGAAUUUGAAUCUUUAGUAACUAGCUUAGCAGGUUGCUAACAAAGAUGGUGGCACACUAACUGAAUUUUUAAUAAUAGCGCUAGGUUAGUGUAGCACUAAUUCAGCUAGUGAUGAAUUAAAAAAAUAAAAAGAUGAAUUGAUAAUGGGAAGGUCACUAAUUGAAUGACUAUUUAAAGGCCGAAAUAACGAACAAAUAGGAAGAGGAGAAAAGAAUCUGAGAGAAACACACAUUUUUUAGAGUAAGAGAUUAGACAUUUUGAAAAUAGAGAGAGAUACACUAAGAACAGUCAAAGAUUUUGAAAAUACUUAGAGCAAUAGGGAUCAAGUCUUAAGCAAUCUCAAGUUGAAAAACAUUCUGCAAAAGCUUGAGAGAUAGACAUUCAGAUACGCAAUAAGAGAGAGCUUGAUAUGUAGACAGAGAUUAAGACAGAGCUGGGUUAGCUUUUCUAUUAUUUGGUGGAUGGGAGUUAAUCUCAUUCUGAUUAGCUGUUGUGGUUGAUUUUACUGUUACAUUGCUGAUCUACUGGACUGUGUCUGCUGUUGACUCUUUACUGAUUUCCCAUUUUGAUUCCUUCUUGAUUUCGAGGUACACUUCUUUGAACUCUGUACAAUGUAAUGUCAAUUUGAAGCAUGAAUGGACAAGUUAAAGUGACCUCAUUUUACAAAAUGUUGGCACAGUUAGUUGUUUUACUAAUUUAAUUUGUAACGUAAACUAAAUAUUGUUUCUAUAAUGAACAACUGAAAUCUCGGAGUAGUGUUUAGUUUAGGGACUUUUUUAAAAAUGUUUUUUUUGUCAAGUAGUCAAUCAUAAUAGUACGCCAUAGCUCUGUUUUGCUGUUUCUUCGAGUCAUCAUUUAUGUUUGAAAAGGAUUGCAUGUUUGGUUGUUGUUAAAGAGGUUUGAAAAGGGUGAUGUUUAGUGUUUGUUGAUUCUAUUAGAUUAUAUAUGAGGUAGCUGGGUUGUUGUAUGGCUUGUGUUGGGUUUUGAAGGUCAAUUGUUAAUAGUUUGGGUAGAUUGAAUACCGAAAAGAAUGAGUUAGUGUUAAUUUGCCAUUUGUUUGAUCCACCGCCUACACAAUAUUUUUGUAAGAUUUAAGUGGUGGAUUGUCUCGUGAGCACAUGUAAUUGCCCCUCUGUUUUGGUCUUCAAAAGUGCUUGUGAAUUGUUUUAGGCGAAUCAUAUUAGACAUAGCAAAAAUUGAUUAUGGCACUACUAUAUUAACAUAGAAACCGUAGAAACCGUUAAGUAGAGUAUUUUGAGGUGUGCCAUGCCAAACAAAAAUGACAAAUGCGUGGCCUUUGGAUAUAAUAACUUUAAUACAUUUAGAAUUUGAGAUGUGUCAUUUGGCUAAUUUCAUGGCCCUCACAAAGUUAAGAACGCCUUAGUUCCUUUUAGGAGCGUUAGUUAAUAAUUUUACCUUCCUAAACUCGGUGUGCAUUUUAUGUGACCCAAAUCAAAUCUCAAAACGAUGUAUAAAAUGUGUUUAGGAUUGCGGGUGCAUUUCAUGUGACGCGAUUCAAAGACAUGUUUUAAACGACGAUCAAUAUUCCUUAAACAUUAAUAAAAGCUCUCGAAAGUUGAAAUUUGUACAUAGAAUCAGAUGUAUUAAAAUUAGAUAAUUAAGCCGAAUUUGACAGUUGAGCGAUCGUUCUAGAAUCACGGAACUCAGGAAUGCCUAAAACCUUCUCACGAGUUAAGAGAAUUCCUUAUUCGCAUUUCUGGUUUGCAGACUGUAAUACAGAGUCAACUUUUCAUCGAUUUGGGAUUCAACCAGUUUCUUGGGGCACCAUAAAUCUCCCAAUUGGCGACUCUUAAUGUAUUAAAAAUAAUCCCGUUUCGAUUGUUCUUUAAUUGGAAGAACAAUUUUAUACCUUUCGGGUGUGUAAAAAAGAAGGUGUGACAUUUUAUCCAUCAAACGACUAUUUAGGUUUGCGGCAUUAUCUGUGAUGAAAGUCGUAGGAAUGCCAAAACGACAGAUACGAUUAGAAUGCACAAAAUCUACCAUAGCUUCCUUGGCGACUGAUUUGAGAGUGAUGGCUUCAACCCACUUCGUGAUGUAAUCAAUGGCAACCAGUAUGAAUCUAUGCUCAUUUGAGGCUUUCGACUAGAUCGGCCCAAUGACGCCCAUGCCCCAAGUAACAAACGGCCAAGGUGCUGAAAUGGGAUGCAGUUCUGUUGGAGGUGCAUGAAUCAAAUCACUGUGCACCAGACACUGAUGGGACUUUCAGACAAAACUGAAAUAGUCCUUUUCCAUAGUUAUCCAGUAAUACCCCGCUCAAGGAUUUUCUUUGCCAAAAUGUACCCAUUCAUAUGGGGUCCGCAUACUCCUGCAUGCACUUCAUGCAUAAUUUUUCCAGCUUCUUCGGCGUCAACACAUCUUAACAAAUUGAGGUCCGAGGUCCUUUUGUACAAGGCAUUACCACUCAAGAAAAAACCACUUGCAUGCCGUCUAAUGGUUCUCUUUUGAUCUCCAGUUGCUUGCUCGGGGUAUUCUUGCAUUUUCAAAAACCUCUUAAUGAUAUGGUACAAUGGCUAGAUGUUUGGUUCUACCUCAACCGUAUUAAAAUAACCAUGUCUUUCCCUGAUUUGGAUUUCCAAUGGAUCAAUGUGAGCAUUGCCUGGGUAGGGCAACAUCGAGGCUAGAGUAGCAAGUGCAUCACUACUUCAUUGUGACACCGAGGGAUGUACCUGAACUCUAUUGACCUGAACCGAUUUCUAAGAUCCUCCACAUGUUGGCGAUAGGGAAGAAGCUUAACAUCCCAAGUUUUCCAUUCUCUUUGGACUUGCCGGAUAAUCAAUUAUGAAUGCCCCAUAAUCAAUGACACUUCAACGUCUUGGUGAAUUUCCAUAUUCAUUCCCAUUCCAAUGAUGCCCGCUUCAUAUUCAGCAUUAUUGUUUGUGCAGUAAAACUGAAGCCUAGCAGUGGCCGGGUACUGCUAAUCGGCGGGUGAGAUUAAUAUUGCCCCAAUUCCUACUACCCCUUUGGCGUUCACAGCCCCAUUAAAGAACAUUUUCCAAGCAUAAGUGUAUUCCAAGAUUGCAUAUAUUGUGUUUACCUCUUCAUCUGGAAAUAAGUGCUCAAUAGUUGGUAUUCCUCGUCAACCGGAUUUUCAGCCAGAUGAUCUGCCAACGCCUGAGCUUUCAUCGCCGUGCGAGUGACAUAGACUAUGUCAAAUUCAGCGUGUAGAAUCUGCAAUUUUGCUAACCUCCUUAUGGGCAUCAGCUUCUGGAAUAUGCAUUUCAAAGGAUCCAACCUGGUUAUGAGAUAAGUGGUGUGGGCAUGCAGAUAAUGUCUUAGCUUCUGAGCAACCCAAGACAAAGCACAACAGGUUCUCUCCAACAUAGUAUAUUUAGCUUCGUAACUGGUGAACUUCUUGAUCAGGUAAUAAAUCACCUAUUCUUUCUUCCGAGUUUUAUCGUGUUGCCCAAGAACACAACCGAAAUUGUUUUAUAAGACUGUCAUAUACAAGAAAAGAGGCCUCCCUGGCUCCGGUGGGACCAAGACUGGCAAAUUUGAAAGAUAUUCUUUGAUUUGCCGAAAUCUUCUUGACAUUCAUCUGUCCACUUGAUUGCUGCAUCUUUCUUUAGCAAAUUGAAUAUCGUCUUACAUAUGGACAUCAGCUGAGCAAUGAACCGACUAAUAUAGUUUAAUCUGCCCAACAAGAUCUUCAGAUCUUUCUUGCUUUCUGGAGGAGGUAUAUCCCGGAUAGACUUUAUCUUUGUUGGGUCUAACUCGAUACCUCUCCUACUGACUAUGAAACCUAGAAGUUUUCCCGAUGGGACUCCGGAUGCACAAUUGGCUAAUUUUAGCUUUAGUUCAUACUUGCACAAUCGCUCGAAGAACUUUCUCAUAUCUCGAACAUGGUCAUCCUGAGUUUGAGACUUGAUGAUUACGUCGUCCACGUAUAUCUCUAUCUCCUGAUACAUCAUAUCAUGGAAAGUUGCGGUCAUGGAUCUCAUGUAAGUCACCCCAGCAUUCUUCAGACCUAGUGACAUAACUUUUUAACAAUAUGUACCCCAGGUUGUGGUGAAGGCUAUCUUUUCUGCGGUCUUCUUCAUCCAUCAAAACCUGGUUAUAUCCUGCGUAACAAUCCACAAAGGUCUUUACCUCAUACUUGGCGCAGUUAUAAACAAGGAGGUGGAUAUUGGACAAAAGGAAAUUGCCUUUUUGACUGGCCUUUUUCAAAUCACUGUACCGAGUCUUUCCAUCUUUCUUUGGAACUGGGACUACGUUAGCCAACCAUGUUGUAUACGUGACUACCCAAAUUACCCCCGCUUUCAACUAUUUUGUGAUCUUUUCCUUGAUCUUAUCACUGAUGUCAGUUUUGAACUUUCUCUAUUUUUUGCUGUACCAGAGGGCAGUUGGGUAAAUGGGAAAUUUAUGAACCACUAGAUCACUACUCAACCCUGGCAUUUCAUCAUACAACCAAGCAAACACAUCUUUAAACUCAAAUAGGAGUUGGAUUAUUGCAUCCCGACUUUUCUCAUCCGUGUGAAUGCUUAUUUUGAUUUCCCGAAUUUUAUUACAAGUUCCCAAGUUAAUCGGCUCAGUAUCAUUAAAGUUUGGCUUAGGUUUAUUCUCAAAUUGCUCUAGUUCUCGAUUUAUUUCCCUAAUAGCCUAUUCUUCAUCAUAUUGCUAUUCUUGGUUCAUUAUUUCACAAUUAGACAGCGUGUUUGGAUCUGGGCAUGAUGUCCGCAAGUAUGUCAUGUUAUUUAAAGCCACAUUAUUAGAACUGAAAAGAAGAAAUGAAAGAGAAAAACAGCAAAAUCAGAAAGAAUAAAGAAAAAUGAAUGAUGAAAUAUUAAUUUCAUUUCUUGGAAUUUGAAGAUAACAAGGUUUAUAUUUGGAAAUUUAAAGACAAGAGACAAAUUAAAACAUCCAAGUUACACCCUGAAAUAACUUGGGAUGCAGAAAAAGUAGCAGGACAAGUCUACAGGGACUCCCGUCUGAUCACAAAUGGCGUAGCCUUCCAAUUGUGGAGCUUAGUGCAUGGUCCCAUGUCAGCACCUCAAGGGUGCUUGUGCCCUCUCCCGGCUGAACCAUGUGGGUUUCAUAUAGUAUCUCUCUCAUCGCCCCACAUAUUUCUUCAAUUUCUUAGCAAAAUCAGAAAGAAGAAAGAAAACUGAACGAUGAAAUAUUGAUUUCAUUUCUUGGAAUUUUGAAGAUAACAGGGUUUACAUCGAUAAAAUUAAAGACAAGAAUGUAAAGAAAACAUCCGAGUUACACCCUGGGAUAACUCGAGAUGCAAGAAAAAGUAGUAGAACAGGUCUAGCGAGACUCCCGCCUGAUUGGGAAUGGUGUAGCUUUCCAAUUCUGUAGCUUCGCAUUUGGCCACAUAUAUAGAACCUCAGCGGCGCUAGUGCCCGGUAACCAUGUGGGCUUUAUAUAGUAAUUUUCUCAUUGAGCCACAUAUUUCCUCAAUUUCUUCAGUCGUGAAAACAUCAUCACCUUCCUCUUUCCUGUACUUCGGCUUGACAAAGGUCUCAUACAAGUGUGGCAGUUGGUAGGACCCAUCCCUCUUUCUUUCUCUCAUUUGCCCACUAUGUAUCGUCUGGGGUAGGCAAGAAACCUAUCUCGAAGAACUUUUCAGUUUUAGGCAAAGUCACUAACUCAAAUAUUCAUGGUAAAGUUUUCCCAAGUCCCUUUCCUGGCUUGAAACCAUGUCAGAUCAUUUCCUUGGCCACUAUAAUCGAGGUGUUGGAUAAGAAAGGUUGGGGCCACGAAUUUCCCUCUUCAUGUUGGUUCGCAACCACAACUUCGAAAACUUGGUAAACUAUGUGUUCACUGCCUUCCCUCGCUUCCAGGCAUGGGACAAAUGUGUCCCUAUAGAUUGACUGUUCAUCCUCUCCAUGGAACACAAUCUCCUGGUCCUGAUGUUCGAAUUUUACCAUAUGAUGGAGGGUGGAAGCUACAUCUCUUGCGGCAUGGACCCAGGGCCUUCCCAGAAGAAAAUUAUAAGACGUGUCCAUGUAUAGUACUUGGAAAGUCACCUCGAAGUCCACCAGGCCAAUGAUCAUAAACAAGUUAAUUUCUCCAAUUGUGUCUCUUUUAAUUGCAUUGAACGAACGCGCGCAUACAUUGUUGGGAUGAAUCCUUUCAAUGACUUUUUCCUGCGUUGCAAUAUAAAGAUUGGGCAGAUUUCUACUCUAGAACAUCCAUAUUCCAUGACCCACUUCACAUAUUAUCCCUCACAUUUAACAGUUAAGUGCAGAUCCUUGUUGUCAGCAGCCCCCUCCGGAGGCAAGUCAUUUUUGCUGAAUGAAAUCUAAUUGAUGGCAAAAAAUCUUUCUGCCUUUAUUUGUAACCGUUCCAUGGAUGUUUCAGCUGGCACGUAUGCUUCAUUCAGGGUCUUAAUUAAAACUUUUUGAUGUUCAGGGGAUUUCAUCAACAAUGACAGGAACAACACUUGUUCAGGAUACUUUCACAGUUGAUCAACCACUUCAUAAUCAGCCAUCUUCAUUUUUUGAAUGAAAGGUUUCGCUUCCUCGGCACAUAUAGGUUUCUUGGCUGGGAAACACUUUUUAGAGGAAUUGUUCACUUCUUCUAUGUUAGAACACUUCUCAACGGCAUGAUUUUCUUGUGGCGCCCCUAAGAUAUCUUUGACUUUAUAUGUAACUACUAUUUUUUAGUAAUUCUAUGGCACCAUAGUCGGAUCUGUCAUAGGCUUUUGUGGCGUGCGUCCAAUAACCACGGGCUUGCUCGGCCACGAUGGCAUAAUUGUCCCUUGCACCACAUGAGCUCAUUUGGGUACGUACAUAUGGGAUCCUUUUCUUAGUUCAAAUAUAUUUGGAGGGCUCAAAGUUAGCUGAUUUUCUUCACGGCCCCGUGGGACAUAGAGAAUUCCCUUUUGGGGAGGUGUUGCCUUUGUUCCCGUUUCAACUUUCUUUUCUAGUUCCGUCUUGAUGACGUUGUUCUUCUUUUCCCCUUUAUAUUGCUUCGAGGUAACUUUUUUCUUUCUCUUAGCAUUAGCAAUUGCAAUUAUGGCCUUUAGUGCCGGUUCAAAUUAUUUUUCUUUGCAAAUCAUUCCAACCACUGCGACAUUGUUGUGGGUCGGCAAUGGGUUAUUCGUCAUACUGGGGACAUCCUCAUCCCUUAGCACUAUCUUUCCUUGAUCUAUCAAGUCUUCCACAACUCUUUUCAACGUGCAAUAUUUUUUUGUAUAAUGUCGCCCAGCUCCUGAAUGAUAAGCACACCAGACUCCCUGCUGAAAGGAGGGUAAUUCUGGGUAUUGCCUAUUUGGAGCUAUGGACUGCAACAAAUUCAUUUGAACAAGCUUCAGAAAUAGACUAUAGUACGGUUCACCUAUUGGUGUAAAUGUUAGUCUCCUGGUGAUUACCGAGGAUGAAAAUUAUUUUGUGGAGGACGUGGUUAUAGUGGUUUUGGUGAGGAUGGUAAUUUUUUUGAAAUUGAGCUUGGUUUCUAUUGGCAUGUUGUUGCGGUCUUACAAAAGGGUUAGCAUUCAUGACCGCAUACGGUUGAGGAGAAUAUUCCAUGUCUUGUUGAGGGUAAUAGUGCUCAGAGGUUCUUUCUUAAAACAAGGGUCUAGGAGUGUGAUGCUCCUGGCACCCGAAGCCGCCAUUGAUGUUUCUUCUUUCUUCUUACCCUUUAGCAUUCCACUAGACUGGCCUUGGAUGGCUUUGGAGGUUGCUCUAAUAGCCGAUUGACUCUGCAUUUUGCCAGCUUUUAGACCAUUCUCCACCAUUUCACCAAUUUUAAUAGCCUCCACGAAUGGUUUGCCCAUAGCUGACAUUAUAUUAUGGAAAUAAUCAGCAUUCAGAGCAUGAAGAAAUACCAUGCCCAUUUCCAUCUCAUCCAUUGGAGGAUUUACCCUUUACGCCUUUUCACGCAAUUUGAUUGCAUAUUCCCAAAAACUUUCAGAGGAUUUCAUUUCAUAUUCGCCAACAAGUUCGAUCUGGCACAAUGUCUAUGUUAUACUAAAACUGUCUCACAAAGUCUCUUCCGAAAUCAUCCCAAAUGUGCCAACGAGAAAUGUCCUUAUCCAUGUACCAUUCUGAGGUGAUACCCACCAAACAUUCCCCAAAGUAGGCCAUUAACAAUUCCUCCUUUUUGCCAGCCCUACACAAUUGAUUGCAGUACUUCUUAAGGUGAGCAAUAGGAUCACCGUGCCCAUCAUAUUUUUUGAACCUUGGAGUCUUGAAUUGCAUAGGCAAAUGCACAUGAGGGAUCAAGCAUAGAUCAGUAUAUGACACAAUCUUCUGCCUCUUAGAACCUGCAUGUUUUAAGGCUAUAUUCUAGUCUUCGCAUCCUUUUUUCCAUUUCAUCUUGUUCGGGAGUUUUAGGAGCCUUAUCCUGUCCCGUUGUGAACUCAAAUGGAGGUUUCUAAUGAUAAGUGUAAGUGGGCUACUGAGGAAGCUCAGUUUGGUAGUGGGUGUUUGGAAUGUGAAGGCCGAUGGAUAAAAAGUGGGUCUAGGCAGCAAAGGCUAUGUUGUGGCUGCACAUGGGGGAGCAAUAAAGAUAUUGGGGACAAUUACGGAUGGGAACACCUGGGGCCGAACCUCAGAAUGUGCUCCAACAAAUGAGCCGGUAUGAUGGUUUGUUCCAGUAAGAUGUUUGGAUGACUGAUGGGAAUAUUGGAGGUACCCUAUAACCUACGGAAGAGCUCGAGUUAUCUAGGGAUGACAACCGAAGGCUCCUUUACAUUUGUCCAUGCAUCCAACAUCUCCAUGACCUGAAGAAGCAGGAUCCUAUUUUCCUCGGCCGCUACAGACUCUGAGGCCGGGAUGCUCGAUAUUGGGCUAUCUUCCUAGAUGGGAAUUUCUAGAAAAGUCAUUUCAGACGACAUUUUUGUACUUCAUGUUUAUCUAGUAAAAUACCGAUGUGAUGCCAGCUUACCAAAACCAACCAUCGUGUCAAAAAACCUAAGCUAGACAUGACAAAAACAAACGGUUAGUUCGAGACAAGUAUCAGAUAGGGAAUCACACAUUGGGUUGUGAUGCACCUAUACAGUUAAACAGACGUAUAGAUGUUUGCAACGGUUGCAUGAGUCAUCCCAGAUUUUCAUUUCUAUUUUCUAUUCUUUUGAUUUCCGCUCUUUGUUUUUUCUUGCUUUUCUGUUUCUCAUUUAUCACAUGUUUCUUUUCUUUCCCUCUUUUCUUUACCUUCAUUCACACCUUCGAUUUUUUCUUCUCUCUCUUUUUAAUUCAUUCUUUACCUCUCUCGUUUUUUCUUUUAUUUUCUUACCUCUUUUUGUUUUUCUCUUAGUGUUACAGACGAAUAUUAUGGAGUUUGCCUAUGUAUUAUGACCCUGCAUGAAUCAGACCAAACGUAGUUUGUAAAAAAUAAAUGCAAAAAGUAAAGAAAUAAUUUUGGGAAUUUUCAAUUUUCUUUAAAAAACACGUCUACUACAAAAAAUGCUUAACUACUUGUCUUCUUGGAAAGGAAAACUACAGACCAAAAAUAAACAAAAUACAAACUCGAUGCUUAAUAGACCAAGAAUACAUUAAAGCUUAAAUUACUGGGAACCACGAUGCGUCAUUCGGCCUCGCUGCAAGCCUAUGUGAAAGACCCAUUUGUAGUUGCUCCAAAUCAUUAAUUAUCUGUUUCACAAAUGCCAUCACCGCCACCAAAAAGGUGCUGCGAGUCAUGUUCGCGCAUACAUGGAAUUUCCGAGUGGUGCGGUGAGAAAUAGUUAAGAUCCUCUUUCCUGUUACGCCUUUUUCUUGAAGCCAUCGCCCUAUCUGAUCAUUCCUGGCUUCCGAAACCCAGGAGUCACGAAGGUGUUGAAUUUGUAAUUGUUGGAUUUGCUCUUCCAUUUGGGCCAUCAAGUCAUAGCAAUUUUCCCUGUUGGCUUUGAAUUCUUUGGCUUGUUUGGGUGCUUUAUUUUCGAGGGUGGUCAUUUUUCUCUUCAAAUUAGCAAUGGACACUUCAUAAUUUCUCUUCAUUUCUUGCACAAAUUGGGGACAUUCUUCGGCUUUAUUUUCCCAUUGUGCUCGAAUUUUUGCUGAGUUACCCUCAGACUUUUCCAGAUCUUCCUGGCACUCGAUGACUUUCUUUUUUAGCCCACUUAUCAAACCUUUCAUCGGACCGACUUCUUUAUUAGUUGUUGGUAUCUAUUCUUAUCUGUACGAUUUGAGCAUUAAGAGCCUCAUUUUCUUGGGUCAAUUUCUUCUUUUCACCUUCAUCGGUGCAGCUUGCAAACUGUUUACAGACUAAAGAUCUCGGACCUGCUGUUCAAGCUCUCUUGUUCAGACCUUUAUUCGUUCUCCUUUUCUAACCAGACCCACUGUUCUUGUGAUGAUUCAGCAAAAUCCUUGAGGUGAGGUCUUUUGGCCAGCCAUCCAAAUGCAACUUCCUUUUUGUCCCAAGCAUGAUGCCCAGGUGACAUUUCUCCUUUAGAUCGACCCCGUAAAAAGGUAUUCACCGCGAAAUAUUGACAUUCGCUCCAAAUCUGGAGGACUCUCGCUUCAGGAAACUAGCCAUCAGGACCAAUCUCAACUACUUGGAUACUAAGAUCGUCAUCUUUUGGCACUAUUUGGCACCUCUCAAGUUGUCUCAAAACCCGAUAAGUCACAUAAGGUUGAAUUCUCUUAAGACCCAUAACGGGAAGUGCGGCCCCGCUGCUGGCAUAUAUAUGAUUUCAUCCACUGGUAACCAUCCAAACGUCCACUCUAUUGGACUUGUAGUGAGGGAACGAAAGUAUGAUGUCCAUCCCGUGAUCCCUUCUGGCAGGCUGGACCCCUUAAUCAUAGUAUAAAAUUCUUCUAUGCAAGUUUUCUUUAUUGACCGAUAACUUAGAAACUGAGGACGAUGGCACAGGUGUUCGGUCAUCCACAUUUGUAAUAAAAAAUUGCACCACUAAAAGAACUUUCAUCCGGCUUUACAUUCUGUAAGAGCGCAGAAGAUUUCAUCUACUAUCAUGGGAGUAAGACUAAUUUUGUCUUGAGUGAGUAAAGUGCUAACGAUCCUAUCUAUUUUAUGUCAAUAUUUCCACAUUUACUCGGGAAUACAAAAAGCCCCAAAAAUACCACCAUCAAAUCAAAACAUCUAUGUUCGUCCCAUUUUUGGCGGUUUCCUCUGCUACAUAUUUUUUUUUUCAGGUUGUUGAACCCUCCUAUAUGGCCAUAUCUCUGAUAUAGAAAGUGUAGAGUACGAAAUCCCUUUGCCAUAUACGUAUUGUGGACCAUUCGACUUAUUAGUGAGUCUAAGAAUCUGUGCACAACUACAGUUCUCGGGGCAACCAAGUAAUUGUGUCUUAAAGGAACCUCAGCACUUUCCACGUACCCGACUAUUUCUUCUAAGGUGAGAGUGAGCUCAAAAUCUGAAAAAUGGAACACGUUGUGCGCCAGGUCCCAACAUGUGACCAAUGCCCAUAUUAUAUCUCCUCGAGGCAUAAACACCAACAAACCAGUAGUACCUUUCAAAUAUCUCUUGACCUUGUCUUUCACUUCUCCACCUAGAUUGUUCCACCACAUACGCAACUUUAACGAUAUUUUGUUCAUGAUUGAGAAAGGUUCAUUUUGAAUCGUGUUAUUCCUGCUCAUUUAUUAAGGUGAUUUAAUCACUUAUUUUAACUUAAAAGAAACAAUGACACUAUAUUUCCAAAAUUUUAUUUUAAAACAAACAACUAGUUUUGCAGAUACAGCCUUUUAGCACUUCAGAAAGAAGAUUUUAAGGCUAUGCCCGUUAAUUGUUGAAAAUGACUCGAAGUGGCUGUUCUUGCAAAAAAAGCCUGUUUUAGGGAUAUUCGGCUAGUUGAAGCAAGAAUUACAUCACUCGACUUAUUUGUGAAAAAACUAAAAGUUUUGAUAAUUUUCCGCUGUUUUUGCAAAAGAGAAAUUGGACCCGAUGGGGUUGCCUAUGUAUCCCACAUGUGCUGAGAAUUAACUUGGUGUAGUUCGGGAAGUUUUGACAAAAUCAACUAUUUUCAAGACACUUCCUUUUCUUUUGUUUUCUAAAAAAAUCCAAUAGAGUUUCCGUACCAUUUGGGCAUUGGGCUUCUCAAAAGAGGUGACCAACUCACUCAACCCUCACACUAUAAUUCUUUUUUCUUUACUUUUUCUAGAUUUUCUCCUAUUAUUUACAAGUUGGUCAACAUGCAGAUCCGAAGCAAAUAAAUGCAUCAAAAGCUAGUAGGAUGCAUCAGGACGGUCAUUUUCAUUUCAAGUUACCUUUCCUAGACAGACUCAACCCCUGUGUUGAGUCCCAUUAGUCAAAUGCACGUAAUGCAAACAAAGGUUCCUACUAGGGAUCCAGUACGAGGUCAAGUUAUUCUAGGUUCAAAACGUACGUAUAUGUUCUAUACUGUGUACCCGAGCGGAAAACUCGAGUCGAAGAGGGGGAUACAUACCGGGAACCAAAAGGCCGUCUGCUUAGUAACUUGUCUGACCUCUUUCUUACUUUAAGGUAUGACACUAAUAGAAUAGGGAGUCUUGACUAGUGGGAACAUCCCCCAAGAUGAGAAGAGAAGCGUUUAGUUAUAAUUUAUAUAUAGAAAUUUAGAUAAUAUCAAAGUGGUAAAGCAUUUAGCACAUUUAGCAUGAAAUAUGUAGGAAAUCAGAUAAAGCCAGGUAUAAAAGUUAUUCUAAGCUCUUACUCCUAAACCUAACCGAAGUUCUGGGUUUGUCUCCCCAGCAGAGUUGCCAGAGCUGUUGCACCUCCUUUUUACACACCUACACUAAAGGAUAAUGUAUAAGAGGGUUUUUACAUUUUUAGUGACAUUAUUCGAAAUAUGAUUAUUUAUUUAUUUAGAGUCGCCACUUGGGAAAUGUUUGCAUUUUUGUGUCCCAAGUCGUGGUUUGUCUUGAAUCCCAAAUCGAGGAAAUUUUUCGACUUUCCAAGUAAAGUCUGCGAACUAUAAAUUCUAAGUAAGGAAUUCUGUUGACCCAAGGGAAGGUGUUAGGCACCCCUGGAUCCCGCGGUUCUAGCACGUUCGCUAAAAUUAUAAUAAAUGGGUAAAUAUCUUAAUACUUGUUUCUAUUUAAAGUGCAAUUUAAAUUACUUACCACUUUGAAUUAAUUUUUAAGGAAUUUGCAACAUUGCUAAAACACGUCUCGAACCACGUCACAUAAAUACACCCGUGGUUUUUUACAUAUUCCAACACCGUUGACAUUUGGAUUUUUGUCACAUAAAUGUGUACCCGAGUUUAAGAAGAUAAUAUUAUUAAUUGUCAGACUUAAAUCAACUAUAGUAUUACUAAUUUUGCGGGAGGUCAUAAAAUUUGCUAAGUGGCAAGUCCCGAGGUCUAAAUAUUUGUUAUAAAAGAUAAUUGGCGUAACGCAACUCGUUUUUGUAAGGUCAACCUAACUAUGAUUUUCUAUUAAGUAUUAUCUCUAAAAGGGUCUUAAUUAAUUAGCAUUAUUGAUUACUAUUAUCAAAAGCAUUUAAGGAAUUUGGGCCUCAAGGUCGAUCCACAUUUAAACAAAAGAAAAGCCUCUUUAGGUUAUUGGGUUGUCAUAUAAUUGGACUGACCAUCUCAAUGAAACAUCCAAACUUUGGACCCAAAAUGAGCCCAAUUCGAAGUGAGGAAAGAAUGAUCAGGGAUAUGAACCUGGCUACUCUUUAGUUGGGCCUAUGUUGAACUCAAUAUUUAUAGUCCAAGUAAGGUGACCCAAAGCUAAAUCAAUAGUAACAAUGAAAUGAAAAUCAACGACCUACUGAUAUAUUUUAAACAGAAUCUGAUAUAAAUUAAUGGUGAUCGAACCAAUAAACUCAAUCACAUUUUAUAAUAGUUAAAAAGAGAUUAUCAUAUUUACAGUUUUAACGAAGAAUAGGAUCAAGCUCAAUUUACAACCUAGCACUAGAUCUAAAAUUUUAAACUGCCUUUUACCCUCAGUUCAUAAAUUCUAAACAGCUCCAUUACAGAUAGAAAAUGAGAAUGACUACUUGUAACGACCUGACCCGUCGUACCGUACAUUUCUGAAUUGUUUUCCCUUUUUAUGCUGUUAUAUGUUUCAAUAUAUGUAUUUGGAGAGUUUGGAGUAAUUCGAAUGGAGUUUGGAUAGAAAUGAGACAAUUAGUCUCUUUAAGAGAUAGUUAGUUUGGAAAAGUCAACCGAACAUUGACUUAUAGUUGGAGGGCUCGGAAUGGAAUUCUGAUGAUUCGACAAGAGAAAGUUAGUUUGGAAAAGUCAACCGAACAUUGACUUAUGAGUUAGAUGGCUCAGAAUGAAUUUCUCAUGAUUCAACUAGCUUUGGAUGGUGAUUUUUGACUUAGAAGCGAAAUUAGAAGUGAAUUUGGAGGUCCGGUAUAGAAUUAGGCUUGAAUUGGCUAAGUUAGAAAUUUGGCGAAGUCCGGUCGAUAGGUGAGAUUUUGACCCGGGAGUCAGAAUGGAAUUCCGACAGUUGCAGUAGCUCUGUUAGGUGAUUUUUGAUACGUGUGCAAACUUUCAGAUCAUUCGGAGGUGAUAAGGUCGGGUUUUGGAGCAAAUGCAAGUUUCGGAUGUUUUAUUUAACUUAGGCUUGAAUCCGUGGAAGUUGGGUGAUUUUGAUGUUUAUGGUGGCAUUUUUAUGCUACGAGCACGCUUAAAUGGAGUAUUACGACACAUCUCUUCUAUUGGUCGAGGUCUCGAGGGGCUCGGGGUAAAUUCGGAGGGCCAACAAAGAGUUUUAACUUGAAAAUAUGCAGCAGAAAAAUGCAUUAGUAAUGUAGGCCUAUUUUGGCCUUCACGAUCGCGAAGAGAGGCUCGCGUUUGCGUAGAAUUAAUGGCCUAAAGCAUCGUAUUUGCGUACAGCAGGUCGCGUUCCCGUAGUGUUGGUAGGUGAAGCAUCGCCUUCGCGAUGGUGUUGCCGCAUUCGCGAAGAACAGUUGGAGGGUUAGCGGAAUUUGUUCAAUGCGAACGCGUGGCUUGGACCGUUUUCGCGAAGGGAUAAAUCUGGGCGACACAAGGGUCUUUAAAUGUCAAUUCAUUCGUGAACCAAAAACAUACUUUCCAUUAUAGUCAAGCAACCAAGGGAGCGUUUUGAGCAAUUUGAUGUGGGUUUUCAGCGGGUAUCGAUUGGAGGAAAGUCGCUUGACUUAAAAACAUUAUUUUUAGGAAGAAUCAACCUCAAUUUCCAUGACAUUGUGUAGAAAUUGUGAAGAACUAGGGCUUAGUAUUAGAAACGAAUUUUAGGGAUUUGAAGGGUCAAACGGACUCCGUUUUUCGUGAACUUUAUAUGUAUGGACUCGUGGCGAGAUGAGGAAUCCAAAGAUGUAAAUAUCAGAAUUUUUUGAGAAGUGCGCCCGGGGCUCGGGUUUUACCAACUUCGUGAUUUUUAACGUUUUUCGAAUAAUUUCAAUUGGGUAAUAUUUAUUUCGCUCGUAAUAACAUAUUCAUUGGGGUUUUGAAUAGAUAGGAUGCUCAUAGGAGAAUAGUUGAAGGGAAAAGGCAUUGCAGACCAGGCCACGACCGGUUAGAGGUGAGUAGUUUGUAUAGAUGAUGGCCUGAGGGUUUGAAACCCCGGCUUAUCACAUCGUGACGCCAGGCCACGACCGGUUAGAGGUGAGUAGUUUGUAUAGAUGAUGGGCUGAGGGUUUGAAACCUCGAUUGUCACAUCGUGAUGCUAUGUUUGGGAGUGACUCGUACCCCAUGGCAUGCGAGGGGUUGUUAAUGAUUGGGGAAUUGUGACAUAGUCCAUCCUGUGAUUAUUUGCGUCUGAUACGCACAUUCUGUUGUUGAUAAUUGGGCUUAAUGCCACGUUUGGGGUUUUGUGCCAAUCUGUAGUACCCGUCUAGGGUGAAUAUCUGUGUGAUAACAUGAUUGCAUAAUCAUUGAUCUCAGUCCUGUGUUUAAUCAUCAAAAUGAAAUGCUAAGUCACUUUUCUGAAGAUUUAAUAAUCAAACUAUAUUUUCCAUAAAAAUACGAAAAAUGAAAAUUUAGAUUGAAUCUGUUUAUGUGAAUAAUAUGCAUAUUGUUGACUGAGCAUGGGUCGGGCUACAUGAUCUGUAGCGGAUAUAUAUUGAUUUUGCGCUUGGGCUGAAGGAGCUCUUCCGGAGUCUGUGCACACCCCUAGUGGGCGCCGUCGAUGUUAAAUGGAUUGGGCUGCACAUUCCACAAGGUAUUCAUGUGCAUUGCAAUGCAUAUAUAUAUAUAUGAUACUAGACUGUUAUGCUUGAUAUUGUUAUGCUUUUAGCCUGUAGCUGAGUUGUAGGAGUGUUAGUUGUAGCUUUGUGUUGUGGUCUUUUGUGGAUCUCAUACUUUCAGUCAUUUUCUAUACUAAUUAUUCUGUGAGUUGGUAAUACUCACACCUACUCCCUGCACCUUGUGUGCAGAUUCAGGAACACCGAUCUCCAGAGAUAUUUCAGAGUCGUUGAGGUAGCUGCAUGACGUUCACAGGUCCUGGAUGCUUUUCAUUCUUUCUCCAUUUGAUUAUUAUUAUGUACCUUCCUAGAUAUGUUGGUUUUAGUAUUCAGGUUCUAUUAUUAUUACUCAGUUUUGCAUAGAGGAUCUAGACUCGAGAUCCCCAGAUCUUAUAGGUGUGCUUGAAUUUCUUAUUCAACUUAUAUAUCAUAUUAUUAAUCUUUUUGUGGAUUAUUAUUUUGUUUAUUUUUUGGUUUGAUACUUAAAUGUUUUGUUGGAAGCGAUUGUUGGUCAGGCUUACCUAGAUUUAGAGAUGGGUGCUAUCACGACCGGGUUUGGGUCGUUGAAAAGUUGGUAUCGGAGCCUAGGUUACAAGGACUCACGAGUCAUGAGUCCGUUUAGUAUAGUCUUGUUUAUGGGUGUGUCGUGCACCACACUUAUAAGCAGGAGGCUACAGAACUAUUAGGAAACACCUCACUUUCUUGAAAUUCAUAUCGUGCGGUUUGUUAACGUGAAAAGUAGAUGGCGAGAACCCGUGCUAAUGGACGUGGCAGACGACCCCCAGUACCACCUGCUAGAGGCCGUGGACACGGUCGUGGUGCUGGACGAGGUAUUUUCUUGAAAUUCAUAUCGUGCAGUUUGAUAACGUGAAAGCUAAAAUUUUGUAUUCUAUUCUCUCGCAGACGGUGAGAACUCGUGCUAAUCAAUGUGGAGGACGACCACCAAUACCACUUGCUAGAGGUCGUGGACGCGAUCGUGGUGCUGGGCGAGGCAGACAAGUAGGGGCAGCACCUGCAGACCCACCAGCUGCCCAAGUCCAACAUCAGCCUCCAGCUGUUAAUACUUCAGCUGCACCUAUUCAGGCACCGGCAGUGCCAUCGUGAUUCCUCGUCUGCAGGAGGCUUUGGCCCAGAUUUUGUUCGUCUGCACUGGCCUGCCUCAGGCGGUUUCAGCCACUACAGCAGCGGCUACUUCUCAGACCGGGGGUGGUCAUCAGACCCCUGGUGCUCGAACUUUCGAGCAGGUUGUUCAGGGCUUAACGACACCUGCGAUAGCUCAAGUUUAGCCAGCUACUCCAGUUCAGCCAGUUGCCCAGUUCAGCCAGUCGCACGGGUUGUUCCAUUUGUGCGGGUCGCACCUCUUCCAGCUCAUGUAAUCCCAGAUAUGCCGGAUGAUGAGCAGCGGCGGUUGGAGAGGUUCGGUAGGCUCUAGCCUCCGACUUUUAGUAGUGCUGAGGGCGAAGAUGCCCAGAGUUUUCUUGAUAAAUGUCAGCGUAUGCUUCGCACGGCGGGUAUUCUGGAGUUUAAUGGAGUGGCUUUUACCACUUUUUAGUUCACAUGAGCUGCAUUUAAUUGGUGGGAAGAGUUUGAGAGGCAUAGGCCAAUUGGGGCAGCGCCCCUUAUUUGGCAGAUGUUCUCCGCGGUACUUUUGGAGAAGUAUGUGCCCUAGUCUCAUAGGGAGGAGCAGCGUUGUCAGUUUGAGUGGUUUACUCAAGGUGAUAUGUCAGUGACUCGGUAUGAGUUACGAUUUACUCAGUUGGCUAGGAACGCUAUGUGGAUGAUCCCGACAGAUAGAGAGAGGAUCAGGAGGUCAUCCUCUCACUCAGAUAGGCAGGGGUGGGGGCCAGGCAGCCAGAGGUCAUCCCAGGGGUGAGGACCGUACUGGCGGUGUCCAGGCCCGUUUCUAUGCCCUUCCAGAUGGAAGGCCACUAUUUCGUCAGAUUCAGUUAUCACAGGUAUAAUAUCAGUCUGCCACAAGAAUGUCUCUAUUUUAUUUUAUCCCGGAUCUACCUAUUCAUACGUGUCCUCUUAUUUUGCUCAUCAUUUAGGUACGACCUGUUGUUGUAUUGCCUUGCCCGUGCAUGUAUCUACCCCGGUGGAAUAUACUAUUAUCGUGGAUCAUGUCUAUGAUCCUAUUCAUCUGGGUGCUGCGAAGAUGUACCGGGAUUUGAGACAACAUUACUGGUGGAGGAGAAUGAAAAAGGACAUUGUGAAAUACGUGGCUGUGUGUCUCAACUGUCAGCAAGUCAAAUACGAGCACCAGAGACCCGGUGGUAUACUCCAGAGGAUGGACAUCCCAUAGUGGAAAUGGGAAAAGAUUACUAUGGAUUUUGUGAGUGGUCUUCCUCGUACUUCGAAGAAAUCUGAUUCGAUUUGGGUGAUUGUGGAUAGGUUGACUAAGUCCGUACACUUCAUUCCAGUAUGUACUACCUACUCAGUGGAGAAGUUAGCAGAGAUUUUCAUUCGGGAGAUUGUACGGUUGCAUGGGGUCCCGGACUCCAUUGUAUCAGAUAGGGGUACCGUGUUUACUUCCCAGUUUUGGAGGAAAUUUCGUCGGGAGUUGGGUACACAGGUACAAUUGAGCAUAGUGUUUUAUCCGCAGACAGAUGGACAGUCCGAGCGUACGAUUCAGAUAUUGGAAGACAAGUUACGUGCUUGUGCUAUUAAUUUUGGAGGUUCUCGGGCUGAAUUCUUGCCACUUGCGGAGUUUGCGUAUAAUAACAACUAUCAAUCCAGCAUUCAGAUGUCGCCAUAUGAGGCCUUAUACGGGAGACGGUCUAGAUCUACGGUUGGUUGGUUUGAGCCCGGUGAGGCUAUAUUAUUGGCGACAGUGUUAGUUCAGGAUGCCUUAGAGAAGGUGAAGUAAUCUAGGAGAUACUUUGUACGGCUCAAUCACGUCAGAAGAGUUAUGCAGACCGGAAGGUUCGAGAUGUAACAUAUGCCGCGGGCGAAAAGGUCUUGUUGAAGGUUUCGCCUAUGAAAGGUGUUAUGAGUUUUGGAAAGAAGGGGAAGCUGAGUCCAAGGUUCAUUAGGCCUUUUCAAAUACAUAGGAGAAUUGGGGAGGUGGCCUAUAUGCUUGCCCUCCCACCUAGCUUACUGGGAGUUCACCUGGUGGUUCAUGUUUCUAUGCUCCGGAAGUAUGUUGGGGACCCGUCUCAUGUGUUAGACUUCAGCACGAUCCAGUUAGAUGAAGAUUUGACCUACAAUGAGGAGCCGGUCGCUAUUUUGGGUCAUCAGAUUCGAAAGUUGGGAUCAAAGUAGAUAGCUUCGGUGAAGGUGCAGUGGAGAGGUCGGCCCGUGGAGGAAGCCACUUGGGAGACCGAUCAGGAGAUGCAGAGCAGAUAUCCUCACAUUUUUGAUACUCCAGGUAUGUUUCUUGACCCGCUCGCGGACGAGCGUUUGUUUAAGUUGGGGAGGAUGUAACGAAUUGACCCAUCGUCCUGUGUAUUUCUUCCCCGUUUUUCCUUUUUAUGCUGUUAUAUGUUAAAAUAUAUGUAUUUUGAGAGUUUGGAGUAAUUCGUAUGGAGUUUGGAUAGAAAUGAUACAAUUAGUCUCUUUAAGAGAAAGUUAGUUUGGAAAAGUCAACUGAAUGUUGACUUAUGAGAUAGAGGGCUCUGAAUGGAUUUUUGAUGAUUCAACUAGUUUUGGAUGGUGAUUUUUGACUUAGGAGCGAAAUCAGAAUUGAAUUUAGAGCUCUGUUGUAGAAUUAGGCUUCAAUUGGCUAAGUUAGACAUAUGGCGAAAUCCGGUUGAUAGGUGAGAUUAUCCGAAAGUCGGAAUGGAAUUCCAACAGUUGCAGUCGCUCCGUUAGGUAUUUUUGAUAUGUGUACAAAUUUUUCGAUCAUUCUAAGGUGAUUAGAUCGGGUUUUGGAGAAAUUGCAUGUUUCGGAAGUUUUCGUUUAACUUAGGCUUGAAUACGUGGAAAUGGGGUUAUUUUGAUGUUUAUGGUGGCGAUUUUAUGCUACGAGCAAGUUUGAAUGGAGUAUUAAGAUUUAUUUGUGCUUUUGGUUGUGGUCCUGAGGGCCUCGGGGUAAAUUCGGAUUUCCAAAGGAGAGUUUUAACUUGAAAAUGUGCAGCACAAAAAUGCAGCAGCAGUGCGGGCCUAUUUAGGCCUUCGCGAUCGCGAAGAAAGACUCGCGUUUGCGUAGAGUUAAUGGCCUAAAGCAUCGCAUUCACGUGCAACAGAUCGCGUUCGCGUAGUGUUGGUAGGUGAAGCAUCGCGUUCGCGAUGGUGUUCAUCGCGAUCGCGUGGCUUGGACCGCGUUCGCGAAGGGAUAAAUCUGGGCGAUAGAAAGGUUUUUAAAUAGUAUUUCAUCCGCGAACCAAUCAUAUUUUCCACCAUUGUUAUGCAACCAAGGGAGCGUUUUGAGUAAUUUGAAGUGGGUUUUCAGCAUGUAUCGAUUGGAGGUAAGUCUCUUGGCUUAAAAAUAUUAUUUUUAGGAAGAAUCAACCUCAAAUUCCAUGAAAUUGUGUAGAAAUUGUGAAGAACUAGGGCUUAGUUUUAGAAUUGAAUUUUGGGAAUUUUUAGGGUCAAACGGACUCCGUUUUUGUUGAACUUUUAAUGUACUGACUUGUGAUGACGAGGAAUCCAAAGAUGUAAAUUUCAGAAUUUUUUGAGAAGUAGGCCCGGGGCUCGGGUUUUACAAACUUCGUGAUUUUUAACGUUUUUCGAAUAAUUUAAAUUGGGUAAUAUUUAUGUCGCCCAUAAUAACCUAUUCAAUGUGGUUUUGAAUAGAUUCGACGCUCAUAGGAGAAGAGUUGAAGGGAAAAGGCAUUGCAGACAAGGCCACGACCGGUUAGAGGUGAGUAGUUUGUAUAGAUGAUGGCCUGAGGGUUUUAAGACCCGGCUUAUCACAUCGUGAUGCUAUGUUAAGGCGUGACUCGCACCCCAGGGCAGGGGAGGGGUUGUAAAUGAUUGGGGGAUUGUGACAUAGUCCAUCAUGUGAUUAUUGGCGUCUGAUACGCACAUUGUGUUGUUGAUAAUUGGGCUUAAUGCCACGUUUAGGGUUUUGUGCCGAUCUGUAGUACCUGUCUAGGUUGAAUAUCUGUGUGAUAACAUGAUUGCAUAAUUAUUGAUCUCAAUCCUGUGUUUAAUCAUCGAAAUGAAAUGCUAAGUCACUUUUCAUAAGAUAUAAUAAUUAAACUAUAUUUUCCAUAAAAAUACGAAAAAUGAAAAUUUAGAUGGAAACUAUUUAUGUGAAUCAUAUGCGUAUUGUGGACUGAGCAUGGGUCGGGCUGCACGAUCUACAGCAAAUAUAUAUUGGUAUUGCGCUUGGGCUGAAGGAGCCCCUCCGGAGUCUGUACACACCCCAGUGAGCGCCGUCGAUGUUAAAUGGAUUGGGCUGCAUGUUUCGCAGCGUACUCAUGUGCAUUGCAUUGCAUAUAUAUCUAAUACUAGACUGUUAUGUUUUAUAUUGUUGUGUUGUUUGCCUGUAGCUGAGUUGUAAGAGUGUUAGUUGUAGCUUUGCGUUGUGGUCUUUUGUGAAUUUCAUACUUUCAUUCAUUUUCUAUACUUAUUAUUCACUGAGUUGGUAGUACUCACCCCUACUCCCUGCACCUUGUGUGCAGAUUCAGGUACACCGGGGGCUUAGCUGAUUCUCGUACUCUCCAGAGAUAUUUCAGAGUCGUUGAGGUAGCUGCAUGACGUUGGAAGGUCCUGGCUGCUCUUCAUUCUUUCCCCAUUUGAUUAUUAUUAUAUACCUUCCCAGAUAUUUUGGUUUUAGUAUUCAGGUUCUAUUAUUAUUACUCAGUUUUGCAUAGACGCUCUAGACUCGUGAUCCCUAGAUCUUAUGCGUGUG